rnacentral:lncRNA from 1 species
AGAGUUUCACACACAAUUCACAUAAUUGCAAAUUAAUUCAAGUAGCCUUUAAUGGAUAUUCAAGGAACACAAUAUAAAAUAUGGAUACAAGGAAUAUCAUCAUCUCUAUGAUUGUCUCUAGGGCAUACCUCCAACAAAAUGAGCAUCCUAAUCUAUAUUUCACGAGAAUUCUUCUAGCAUAUAGUGGUCGUGGAUCUUCUAUGUGCUUCAAAUAUUAUGAGCUUCCAG